UUUUCCAGGCAAGAGUACUGGAGUGGGGUGCCAUUGCCUUCUCCGUUAUCCAUGCUUAGGGCACAACUAUUUUCCUAGUCUUUAGUAAGACUGAAUAGUAACCAAAUGUCAGUUCCUUGUAUCCACUAAAAAUUCUCCCUCAAUUUGCAGCUUCAUAUCUUGCAGUUAGAAAAGAGAAUGAAGUGGGCAGAAUAAAACCAUGUGGAUUAAUACCUCACAGUAUAAUUUAUCAUAGUAUAAAAAACUAAAAAUUGUGGGAAACACACACAUGAUAGAAGUUUAGCUAAGAAAGAGAUCAGUGGGGACUGAAUUUCUAAGAAUAUGUUCAUAGAACUCUGACAUCCUUAAUCUUCCCUAGAAGAUGAGUUAAAUGUAAAAAAGUAGAAGGAAGUGGGAUUCGUGGAAAAUAAAAUUAGAUAAAUCACGUAAAUCAUUUAGAAAUGUAAUUGGUAUGGUUGGAAAAAGGCAUGUGCACAAGCUAAACCUGGCUUGCCAUAAAGGUUCCUAUCUACAGAGAGAUGGACAUAUUAGAGCAGGUUAUAGGAGACUGAAGUACCUGAAUAUAACCUGACAAGAAAUAUAGAAGGGAAUAACAAGAUAUUAAGAUUUAAAAUUAUGACCUCUGGUUAAACAUGGCAGGUGGAAUACAUUUUCACUUACAUCUGGAAUCUCAUUAAAAUGAAAGUUGUAGGUAGAAUUUAUAAAAAUAGGAACACACAUGUUCAGCUCAAAGAUUUAGAUGAGUGAAGACAAGAAACCAGUCAACAUAUAGAAAGCAUAAUGGACUAAUGGUAAUUGUUCAAACAUCCUGCAUGUCAGAUUCUAAACAUGUACACCUAGAGCAGAAGCAAAAAGAAUCUACUGUAUAAGUCCACAUAGGACCAUGGGGUACAUGGAAAGCAGAGUCUUAACUUGAUUGAAUAUCUCAGGAAGUCCUAAACCUAAAUCUUCUCUCCAUAUACUUUACACAGCCUGCUCGCUCUCCUUCCUCCUCAUCUGUCAGAAGAUCGGGUGUUUCCUCUUUUGAGACAUGGAGUAAGAGAUUUCUGGACCUAAGACAAGGAAGCCCAGCUAGGGGUAUGAGGGAGAUCCAUGUCUAAAUAAGUUUAAGCCCACACACUGAUUUCUCUUCCCCUACCAAUUCCAGAACUCUAUCAAGCAAAAUAUUAUAGGAUUCCUUUCUAAGGAAACUGGCACAAGAGAAAACACUUGACACUACUUAUUAGCUGAAGUGGGGAGGAGGUCAGGGAGCACAGUGAAAUGGUCAGGACCUUCUGCUCAAUCCAGAGUAGUACUGUCUGGUGCAAGUAUGACAGAAGCCUCAUGCUAAAUAUCCCUUUAAAAUAUCCAGUAGCCACACUGAAAAUGUAAGUAAAUAGGCAAUAUUACUUUUAAUAUUAUAUAUUACUUACUACAACAUCAUAUUCCUUGGAAGAAAAGUUAUGAGCAACCUAGAUAGCAUAUUCAAAAGC
rnacentral:lncRNA from 1 species